rnacentral:rRNA from 1 species
UGCCGCGUGUGUGAAGAAGGCCUUAUGGUUGUAAAGCACUUUAAGCGAGGAGGAGGCUACUUUAGUUAAUACCUAGAGAUAGUGGACGUUACUCGCAGAAUAAGCACCGGCUAACUCUGUGCCAGCAGCCGCGGUAAUACAGAGGGUGCAAGCGUUAAUCGGAUUUACUGGGCGUAAAGCGCGCGUAGGCGGCUAAUUAAGUCAAAUGUGAAAUCCCCGAGCUUAACUUGGGAAUUGCAUUCGAUACUGGUUAGCUAGAGUGUGGGAGAGGAUGGUAGAAUUCCAGGUGUAGCGGUGAAAUGCGUAGAGAUCUGGAGGAAUACCGAUGGCGAAGGCAGCCAUCUGGCCUAACACUGACGCUGAGGUGCGAAAGCAUGGGNANCAAACAGGAUUAGAUACCCUGGUAGUCCAUGCCGUAAACGAUGUCUACUAGCCGUUGGGGCCUUUGAGGCUUUAGUGGCGCAGCUAACGCGAUAAGUAGACCGCCUGGGGAGUACGGUCGCAAGACUAAAACUCNANUNAAUUGACGGGGGCCCGCACAAGCGGUGGAGCAUGUGGUUUAAUUCGAUGCAACGCGAAGAACCUUACCUGGCCUUGACAUAGUAAGAACUUUCCAGAGAUGGAUUGNUGCCUUCGGGAACUUACAUACAGGUGCUGCAUGGCUGUCGUCCAGCUCGUGUCGUGGANAUGUUGGGUUAAGUCCCGCAACGANAACACCCNNUUCCUUAUUGCCAACNAGUAAUGUCGGGGACUUUUAGGAUCUU